rnacentral:lncRNA from 1 species
UAGUAGCCACUUUGUCUCAGCCAAGACAGGAGACUCUGUCUUCCUGUGCUUUCAGAAAGUUGCUGCUGAAAUCCUUGGGAUCAAAUUAAACAAAGCAGAAAUAGAACAGUCACAGAGGGUGGUGAAGGCAGAUAUUGUAAACUACAACCAGGAACCUAUGUCAAGGACUGUUAACCCUCCUAGAAGCUCUAUGUGUGCAGUUCAGUGAGCGCAUUUUUCUUUUGUGUUGAUAGUUCUGGCUGCCCUUCACCUCUGGGUGGGCCCGAGGACUUCUAGGAACUUGUUUUAUCAGUGACCAUCUCUGUAGUUCAGUUAACACUUUACUCCCAACUUGCUUCAUCAUUGCUAUUGCCUCACAGUGGCAGGCAGCUCCUUGGAUUUGAAAGAAUUCAACUUUGGGACCACACACUUUGAAUUCAAAAUGGAAAACCCAUUCCCUGGAAUUAGACUGCUUCAUUGCAAAAGAAUGAUGUUGUUUCUUUGUAUGUCCUUGCUUCUUUUUUCAUUGAUGUAAAUUUUUUUAACUUAAUAUGAAAACUCUCCAAGUCUUGAUCAUCAGCCAGGAUUUUGCCACAGCAAUUUCAUUCUCUUAUCGGAACUUGUAUGUGUCAAAGUAUACUUCAGAGUGCAAACAUUAAGCAAGUAAUAUAUUUUACCUACAGAUACUUAUGAAGACAUUCUUUCGCUAUCGUGAGUAAAAGUAUAUAAAGCUGUUUCUAACUGAAAAUGCUUGAAAUAAGCCUGUAAUAGAAAUAUUUUUUCAUUUUUUAAAAAAGGGCCUAAAUUGUUUAUAUUGUAGUUUGUAACUCACAAAGUAAUAUUUGAUAUUGUAUUUUUAUUACUGUAUCGUUGUCGUUAUGUAUUGUGUAAUACUCAGGUUUGAAGGCUUUCUGAAUUCUGAUAAAUGUUCAGCUGAUGCUCCACGUGGAAUUUCUCUUGCAAACUGCAUAAGAGUACUCCCGAGAAUGAGUUAUGACAUUGUGGAUCAGACUGUACCUGAUGUUCAGAUGUUUUUCUUUCACAAAUAAACUUA